rnacentral:lncRNA from 1 species
CUCCCUUCCCCCUCCAUCUCCCUCCCCUUCUUCUUCCUCCCUCUCCUGGGGAUUCACAGCUUGGACCCCCUGCAUGACAAGCAAGUGCACCAUUACAGAGAUACAGUUCCAGCCUUCCUGUGGGGUUGAUUGGUCUGCAAGUAAAUGUUACAAUGAUGUUAACAACGUUGAGAGAGGUGGAGAUUUGAAGGUGAAGAACACACUUUGCAGCAGCAGUGCAAGCCAAGAGAGCUGUGGUUUUUCGAAUCAACAGUUUCCUAACAUGGGGUGCUGCAAACCAAGAUACUGAGGAUGGACUCUAAGGUUGAAUGAAGGUGGACUCUAUUUUACUUUGUGAAUGAAAGUUAUUGGAAAGAAGCUGGGUCUGCGAAGACUAAUGAAAACCCAGUCACAUGGAGGGGCUGGAGUGUUGCAAGUCCAGAGGCUAAUUACCUGAUCCUUGGCUAGUUUUAGCACCUCCCAAGUAGCCAUUCCUUGGUCAUCUCUGUGUCAGAAGCAGCAUUCCAUGACUAACAGAUGAAACUUUUCAAAAUCUAUCAACUUAGCAGACUACUAGCAUUCACCAACCCCAAAGCUAAGAAGAAUGCCAUCAGAUAGCAUGUUGGACCUGUGGAAAGCACUCUCCCAGCCUUGCUGCAGCAGUGUUCCUGAUGUACUCACCAAUGUAUUUUAAAUUUGUCUUGACUUUCUUUGUUCUGUAAAACCGGAAGACUUCAUGAAACUGCUUCCAUGUUAGAACAUGGAAUUUGGGGUAACCUAAACCUGUGCUGCUAGGCCGUAG